UAGGGACCGGAGACUUCCCUGUCCGCUCAGGGAAAUAUCUCUGCUGACUGUGCCGGUGGCAUGAUCUGCAGUGACAGCCACGAGGUCUCACAGCUCAAUG
rfam:Methanolobus psychrophilus R15, complete genome.